CAGCCGCCGCGGUAACACGAAGGGUGCAAGCGUUAAUCGGAAUUACUGGGCGUAAAGCGUGCGUAGGCGGUGAGUUAAGUCUGCUGUGAAAUCCCCGGGCUCAACCUGGGAAUGGCAGUGGAUACUGGCUCGCUAGAGUGUGUCAGAGGAUGGUGGAAUUCCCGGUGUAGCGGUGAAAUGCGUAGAGAUCGGGAGGAACAUCAGUGGCGAAGGCGGCCGUCUGGGACAACACUGACGCUGAGGCACGAAAGCGUGGGGAGCAAACAGGAUUAGAUACCCCUGUAGUCCCUGUCUCUUAUAC
rnacentral:rRNA from 1 species